rnacentral:rRNA from 1 species
UAGGGAAUCUUCGGCAAUGGGGGCAACCCUGACCGAGCAACGCCGCGUGAGUGAAGAAGGUUUUCGGAUCGUAAAGCUCUGUUGUAAGAGAAGAACGAGUGUGAGAGUGGAAAGUUCACACUGUGACGGUAACUUACCAGAAAGGGACGGCUAACUACGUGCCAGCAGCCGCGGUAAUACGUAGGUCCCGAGCGUUAUCCGGAUUUAUUGGGCGUAAAGCGAGCGCAGGCGGUUAGAUAAGUCUGAAGUUAAAGGCUGUGGCUUAACCAUAGUACGCUUUGGAAACUGUUUAACUUGAGUGCAGAAGGGGAGAGUGGAAUUCCAUGUGUAGCGGUGAAAUGCGUAGAUAUAUGGAGGAACACCGGUGGCGAAAGCGGCUCUCUGGUCUGUAACUGACGCUGAGGCUCGAAAGCGUGGGGAGCAAACAGGAUUAGAUACCCUGGUAGUCCACGCCGUAAACGAUGAGUGCUAGGUGUUAGACCCUUUCCGGGGUUUAGUGCCGUAGCUAACGCAUUAAGCACUCCGCCUGGGGAGUACGACCGCAAGGUUG